GACGAGUCUCACAAACGUUAUUCGGAAUUACUGGGCUUAAAGGGUGCGUAGGCGGUGGAGUAAGUCGGAUGUGAAAUACCUUAGCUUAACUAGGGAACUGCACUCGAUACUACUUUGCUAGAGUAAGACAGAGGUGAGUGGAACUGAGGGUGGAGCGGUGAAAUGCGUUGAUAUCCUCAGGAACACCGGUGGCGAAGGCGGUCUGCUGGGCAGUUGCUGACGCUGAUGCGCGACAGCGUGGGGAGCAAACAGG
rnacentral:rRNA from 1 species